rnacentral:lncRNA from 1 species
CUGAAAGCAAAGUCCAGCUAGAACGCGAGAAAUGUCUAGCGGAGUAUCAGGAGUCGGAGGAGCUGAAAAGAAAGAUUGAGCAGGCUUGUGAAGCUUACCUUCAAGACUACAAGGAUUCCCCUGAGUUGAAGGCAUUUAUAGCUGAGGCCUGUGAAUCACAUCUUGAUGAAUAUAAAGCCUCUGCAGACAUGAAAGCUGCUGUUCUUCAGAAAGCCUUCCGCAUGUACGUAACUGGCUACAAUCGCGGCAUAAGGGAAGCUAAACAUGCUCCUGAUACUCCUCUGGAAAAGCUUCGUAUGGCCGAAGUGGAUUCUGAUGGCGAGCCGGUGUUAUAUGGGGAAGAUGAUUUCCCUAUGCCUAGA